rnacentral:rRNA from 1 species
CCUACGGGAGGCUGCAGUGGGGAAUAUUGCACAAUGGGGGGAACCCUGAUGCAGCGACGCCGCGUGAGUGAAGAAGUAUUUCGGUAUGUAAAGCUCUAUCAGCAGGGAAGAAGAUGACGGUACCUGACUAAGAAGCCCCGGCUAACUACGUGCCAGCAGCCGCGGUAAUACGGAGGGGGCAAGCGUUAUCCGGAUUUACUGGGUGUAAAGGGGGCGUAGACGGCAGGGCAAGUCUGGAGUGAAAGCCCGGGGCCCAACCCCGGGACUGCUUGGGAAACUGCCAGGCUAGAGUGCUGUGGAGGUAAGCGGAAUUCCUAGUGUAGCGGUGAAAUGCGUAGAUAUUAGGAGGAAC